rnacentral:rRNA from 1 species
ACCAGACUCCUACGGGAGGCAGCAGUGGGGGAUAUUGCACAAUGGGGGAAACCCUGAUGCAGCGACGCCGCGUGGGUGAAGAAGUAUUUCGGUAUGUAAAGCCCUAUCAGCAGGGAAGAAAGAAGACGGUACCUGACUAAGAAGCCCCGGCUAACUACGUGCCAGCAGCCGCGGUAAUACGUAGGGGGCGAGCGUUAUCCGGAUUCACUGGGCGUAAAGGGAGCGUAGACGGCCGUGCAAGCCAGGAGUGAAAGCCCGGGGCCCAACCCCGGGACUGCUCUUGGAACUGUGCGGCUAGAGUGCGGGAGGGGGAGGCGGAAUUCCUGGUGUAGCGGUGAAAUGCGUAGAUAUCAGGAGGAACACCGGCGGCGAAGGCGGCCUGCUGGACCGCGACUGACGUUGAGGCUCGAAAGCGUGGGGAGCGAACAGGAUUAGAUACCCCCGUACU